rnacentral:lncRNA from 1 species
AAUCAUAUAAUCAAACAAUUUUUAGGUGCUUUUUAUCUGUAGUGGCCUCAUAAUAUGACGAUCUCGUGGGGUUUGAAGCCAAUUGGGUGGCUUCGGGUUGAGAUUGAAGUUGACUCUGGAGUUCUUAAGUUAAGACGACUCACGGUCCUAAUAUAAUUGUCGGCGGUCAUUCCGGCAUAUAAUAUCAUUUUCUAUUUUAGAUGCAUUACUAAUUCUCAGGAUUUAAAUUAUUUGAAUUUGGAUUAGGCUUU